AACGAACGCUGGCGGCAUGCCUAACACAUGCAAGUCGAACGAAGGCUUCGGCCUUAGUGGCGCACGGGUGCGUAACGCGUGGGAAUCUGCCCUUGGGUUCGGAAUAACUCAGAGAAAUUUGAGCUAAUACCGGAUGAUGACGUAAGUCCAAAGAUUUAUCGCCCAAGGAUGAGCCCGCGUAAGAUUAGCUAGUUGGUGGGGUAAAGGCCUACCAAGGCGACGAUCUUUAGCUGGUCUGAGAGGAUGAUCAGCCACACUGGGACUGAGACACGGCCCAGACUCCUACGGGAGGCAGCAGUGGGGAAUAUUGGACAAUGGGCGAAAGCCUGAUCCAGCAAUGCCGCGUGAGUGAUGAAGGCCUUAGGGUUGUAAAGCUCUUUUACCAGGGAUGAUAAUGACAGUACCUGGAGAAUAAGCUCCGGCUAACUCUGUG
rnacentral:rRNA from 1 species